UCCCCAUUUUCCCACUCCGCCCAUGGGGUGGUGUUCUGGGUGGGUGAGGUCCUUACCGCCAUGUGGCAAUCCUGCCUUCCUAAGGAUCCUUCCUUCUUAUAGAACAAGCAAGAGAGGAAGAUUGUCACUUAAGCAGCAAUCAGACUUUAGGAUGAGGCAGACUGGCCUUGGGGGCCAGCGUUUGCCAGAGCCGUCUGAUGACAGCAGCUCCUGGUACCUGACCAAGGACAGCUGAGUUCAGUCACAGGCAGAUUCGGAGCCCUUGGUGCCAGCAAGAUCAUUGCCUAAGCAACCUGGAGUGAGCCCUGGAAUCAUUCCAGACAACCCAGGGUACUCAACUGGAAGACCGCUGGCCUAACGGUUGCUGCAUCUUCUGUGGUGGCCGCUUGUGGGUCCUACAUAGAUGGUCCGACACCCUCGUUCCCAUUCACACCCUCUGUGUCAGACCUGAGGCCUCACCUGAGGACCCCCCACUUGCGGCCACAGCCUGGGAAAAUGUAUGCAGUCAGGGCCGCGGUGGCCUCGAGGAGCAGCAGAAGUGGGCAGACAGCUGUUCUGCAUUGAGCCUCCGCAGAAUCAGCCUGUCUGGACCAUCACCAACCUUACGCCGGAGUUGGCCCCGGCUUGAGUGUGAGACUGCAUGACACAAAGAUGUGCUUGAUCCAAAGAUCUCCCACACCAGCCUGUCAUGGUGCCUGGUGGCCAGGCCCACUAUUGGAGAGAGGUGGAGACCGAGAUGGAGAGAUGGAGAGAGACACGUGCACAGAGACGGGAGAGGCUGGGGCAGCCUCGGGGCUGGCAGAUAUCACUCCCUCCUUCAUUUCUUCAAGUACUCGCUACGUGACCCUGGCUUCCCCUGACCCCAGAGGGGCUCAGCCAUAGGCUGCCCGGAAAGAACCGGAAGAUUCGCUUUCUUGGGAUUCUGGAUGAAGAGAACAGGGAUGCUGAGUGGCUCUCCUCCAUCUGAUCCUGGGCAGGUUAAACACUGCCAAGACUGUCUUCCAGAAACCCCACUCCCCCUGAUGAGAGCCUCCUACAGCAGACCGUACCCCUGAAGGGGGACCAGAGUCCUGGGGAAGCAUGACCGUGACAAGGUUGAGGAAACCCACGGCACAGAGACAGCAAGCAACUUGUCUGAAUCACACAGCUGAGCGACGGUGGACCAGGCGUCCAACUAACGCGAACGGUGUGGGGCGGUUUCCGAGGGGGUAGGAGAUGAGGUAGCUGACCUUGCCAGGUGUCCUUCUGAUCUCAUUAAAUCCACAUGCCAUCCUGUCCCAACUCCCUCUCCAUCAGCCAGCAUCCUGUCCCCACUGUAGGGCCCAUCUGAGAGGCCCUCAGCUGGAGAUCUGAGUAUUACCUACAAAAUUGUGUAAGCAACCAUAUACAGUCUGGUGGAACUGGAAGAAACGCUCAUUAUACUGUCUUAGAGCUGCAGCCCAUUGACUACAUUAUGCUGAAUAUAGUGUCCUAUCCAUUGAUAAGCAGUUUUUAAAAUAAAUCCUGUAGGGACGCCUGGGUGACUCAGCCGGUUAAGCGCCCAACUCUUGAUUUCAGCU